CUGGUAUAAAUGAUGUUUGGAUUUGCACCAGUGGAGAACCUACUUCUGUAGCCAUCUCACUGCUGAGGAGUGGAUCAGAGGGUCAGAAGCCAAAAGAGCUGCCUGGGAAUCUGUCACCUGUAACUACUGGCAGCCCCUUCCUCUCCCAUUUUUUCCCUCAGGACCACAAUUUGCAUAUAUGCUUCCCCCAGCUCUCUCAACUGCCCCUCCAGCAAUGGGAUUUUGCCUGAUGGGAUGUGCAUCACCUUUCCUUGCAGAUGAUGAUCUCGCUUCACCCCUACUACCCUCACUGUGAGAGAGGAGGCACCAAUGUUCAAGGAAUCGUAAAAUGAGGCAGGCAGGAGCUGGCGAUGAAGGCUCCAGCCUGGGAAAAAUAAACCUGCUAGCCUGGCUAAAGCCAAACAGCACAUGGCCCAAUUAAUAGCCUCCCCACUGUUCCUUUGGGAGGGCCGGCAUUCUCGCCGCCUUUGUCUCGUUUCCUGCUUGCUUCCUCCAUGCCGCUUCCUUUGACUCGGCCCUGCGCAGCCAGGCAGAACGAGAUCCAGCAGGUGACUGACCCAUCUAGGACUGCUCCACUGCACAGACUGGCUUCAGCGGAUCUAGAGGAGCACUGGGGUGAAGACGUUCGUCAUCAAGGUGAAAAUUCAAUAAUCUUGCAUCUUUAUUAAUGCAUUGCUUGGGCUG
rnacentral:lncRNA from 1 species